rnacentral:rRNA from 1 species
UGGGGAAUAUUGCACAAUGGGCGCAAGCCUGAUGCAGCCAUGCCGCGUGUGUGAAGAAGGCCUUCGGGUUGUAAAGCACUUUCAGCGGGGAGGAAGGCGAUAAGGUUAAUAACCUUGUCGAUUGACGUUACCCGCAGAAGAAGCACCGGCUAACUCCGUGCCAGCAGCCGCGGUAAUACGGAGGGUGCAAGCGUUAAUCGGAAUUACUGGGCGUAAAGCGCACGCAGGCGGUCUGUCAAGUCGGAUGUGAAAUCCCCGGGCUCAACCUGGGAACUGCAUUCGAAACUGGCAGGCUAGAGUCUUGUAGAGGGGGGUAGAAUUCCAGGUGUAGCGGUGAAAUGCGUAGAGAUCUGGAGGAAUACCGGUGGCGAAGGCGGCCCCCUGGACAAAGACUGACGCUCAGGUGCGAAAGCGUGGGGAGCAAAUAGG